rnacentral:tRNA from 1 species
UCCUCGUUAGUAUAGUGGACAGUAUCUCCGCCUGUCAUGCGGAAGACCGGGUUCGAUUCCCUGGCCGGGGAG